rnacentral:sRNA from 1 species
UUUUUUUUUCGCGGAUUUUGGUAUACUAAGACUGUGAAUGGUGACAUAGACCGCACCCAAAAUCGCACCGCAACAGUGCUGUAACAGUAUCAAAAUCUCUACAUAUAUAUAUAUAUAUAUGUAUCUGUUAUAACCAGAGAAAGAGAUAGAAGAAAUGAGUGUGUUUUCCAUUGAGAAAAUGGUUCUAUAGGAGUAUAAGGAAAAGGUAAAACCCUACAAACAUCUAGAUGAUGGGCUUAGAUGAUGGGUCUUAUAAUGGGCAUCCAUCUUUAUUCAUAACACUCCCCCUUGAUGACCAUUAUAGUACCAUAACUCGUAAAGUAUUUGAAAUGCUGCCUCAUUAAAAACCUUACCAGGAAAACCUAAUGGGAAAAACCUUGGUUAAGGGAAAAAGAGUGCAACAUACAAUUACUCCCCCUUAUGAGUAUAUUCGUCGAGAUCUUUGAGACGGCGUAAUCCGAUACGAUAGACUAACUUCUUGAAAGUAGCAGUAGGUAGCGCCUUGGUGAAUAAGUCAGCCAGAUUAUCAUUCGAACGGAUCUGUAGAACUCGUACAUCGCCGCUCUUUUGUAGAUCGUGUGUGUAGAAGAAUUUUGGUAGGAUGUGCUUUGUUCUAUCGCCUUUGAUGUAUCCGUCUUUGAGUUGUGCGAUGCAUGCUGCAUUGUCUUCGUACAUAAUUGUUGGAGUUUUUUUCCCUGCAUACAUACCACAGUCUUCUUGUAUAUGGUGAACUAUGGAUCUUAGCCAUACACACUCGCGGCUAGCUUCAUGAAUUAGUAAAAUCUCUGCAUGAUUAGAAGAUGUGGCAGAGAAUAAACAGUAUUUGAGAAUAAGUCUGCCAAAUCUUCUCUUGAACAAAUUUCUAAUAAAGUACAACGCCAUUCUUCUGCUCAUGAAUCUUUUAGAUGAUUCAUCUUAACCAUCUUAUUUAUUUCUCUAAAUAUCAUUAGUGUAUAAUAUUCAUUUGGAUGAUUGAUAGAAUUUCUUAAUAUUCAUCAAGUGUAUUAUUUGCGUGUUCUUUAAUGUCUCGUUAAAAAUCUUGUCAUAGAAAAAUCAUGUGGGAUAAAAACUAUGAUAAGGAAAAAGGGUACAUCCACGCAUAUCAUUCAAUCUCCCCCUCGGAAACAUCUUCUUCAGGAGAUGAUUUUCAAUCAAAUACAAUAUCUCGUUGAAAUUAAUAACCAUAAUCUUAAUGAUCAAAAUUAUAUGGUUUUCAUAUAGACUUAUAAAUAUCAUUAUCUACUGAUAUUUUAUCAUAGAUUAUUGUCAUCGUAUUACUUAUAUAACUCUGUACGAGUUUUAAUGAUUUUCAAAACAAAUAUUAGUUUGAUCAAUAUAUUUUGACAAACUCAACAUAAAUAUACAUUU